CAGAUUGUAAGGAAUCGUACCCCAAACCGACACAGGUGGUCGGGUAGAGAAUACCAAGGCGCUUGAGAGAACUCGGGUGAAGGAACUAGGCAAAAUGGUACCGUAACUUCGGGAGAAGGUACGCUCUCGACGGUGAAGUCCCUCGCGGAUGGAGCUAUUGAGAGUCGCAGAUACCAGGUGGCUGCAACUGUUUAUUAAAAA
rnacentral:rRNA from 1 species